rnacentral:lncRNA from 1 species
AUCCGUGUCCAGCCAGCUUCUCGAGGACGGACAGAGGCCUCUGCGGAUUCCUCGGGGACUGCAGAGUCAGUUGCUCUUUGAAUGAGAACCUCAACUUUCCCCUGGCCAGCUUUGGGGUUCAGUGCAUGGAUCAUCUCUGGUGUCACCAGCUGGGCUGCGUUGGACAUUGCUCCCUGGAUCCCAGUAAACCACACCUGGCUCAUCCCCCACUACGGUCCACAGCCCUCAUUCUUCAGUGUCUACUGAACUACUGGAUCCAGCAGGAGUAACUGCGCUACACAAGUGCCGAGAUUGAGAGGGUCUUCAUUCUGCUCAGAACAAUGUAACAAAGAUGGAAAAAAAGGCCCACCCGGAAGUAUAGUAUCAUGGGACUUGUGAUAAUGAAAUAAUGCUAGAAAAUUCCAAAAACCUGAUCACACACAAAGGGCUGGGAAGGAGAAUAGCACUGCAUUUUUCAGUAGCAAUACCACGCACCA